rnacentral:rRNA from 1 species
UACGUAGGCAGCGAGCGUUGUUCGGAGUUACUGGGCGUAAAGAGUGCGUAGGCGGUUUCGCAAGUUUGGUGUGAAAUCUCCCGGCUUAACUGGGAGGGUGCGCCGAAAACUGCGAGGCUUGAGAGUGGGAGAGGUAAGCGGAAUUCCCGGUGUAGCGGUGAAAUGCGUAGAUAUCAGGAGGAACACCGGUGGCGAAGGCGGGUCUCUGGGCAACAACUGACGCUGAGGAGCGAAAGCGUGGGGAGCGAACAGG